rnacentral:rRNA from 1 species
AAUCUGCCCUCAGGAGGGGGACAACAGCUGGAGACGGCUGCUAAUACCCCAUAUGCCGCGAGGUGAAAUGAAUUUCGCCUGAGGAUGAGCUCGCGUCUGAUUAGCUAGUUGGUGUAGGUAAUGGCUCACCAAGGCAUCGAUCAGUAGCUGGUCUGAGAGGAUGAUCAGCCACACUGGGACUGAGACACGGCCCAGACUCCUACGGGAGGCAGCAGUGGGGAAUUUUCCGCAAUGGGCGAAAGCCUGACGGAGCAACGCCGCGUGAGGGAUGAAGGCCUCUGGGCUGUAAACCUCUUUUAUCAAGGAAGAAGAUCUGACGGUACUUGAUGAAUAAGCCACGGCUAAUUCCGUGCCAGCAGCCGCGGUAAUACGGGAGUGGCAAGCGU